GAUGAAGAACGCAGCGAAAUGCGAUAAGUAAUGUGAAUUGCAGAAUUCAGUGAAUCAUCGAAUCUUUGAGCGCACAUUGCGCCCGCCAGUAUUCUGGCGGGCAUGCCUGUUCGAGCGUCAUUUCAACCAUCAAGCCCCCGGCUUGUGUUGGGGACCUGCGGCUGCCGCAGGCCCUGAAAAGCAGUGGCGGGCUCGCUGUCACACCGAGCGUAGUAGAUUUCAUCUCGCUCAGGGCGUGCUGCGGGUUCCGGCCGUUAAACCACCUUCAUAACCCAAGGUUGACCUCGGAUCAGGUAGGAAGACCCGCUGAACUUAAGCAUAUCAAUAAGCGGAGGA
rnacentral:misc_RNA from 1 species